CCAACAGUAGAAGAGUAUAUGGAAGUUGCAACUGUGACAAGCACUUAUGCUAUGUUGACAACUGUAUCUUUCUUGGGCAUGGAAGACACAACAGAGGAGGUCCUCAUAUGGGCAACGAGUCACCCAAAAAUUAUUGAAGCUGCUUCAGUUAUUGCUAGGAUCAUGGAUGACAUUGUUGGAAGUGAGAGAUUUGAGCUGUAACAUGCUAAGCGGGCCAAUCCCUCCUAUAUUGGGAAAUUUAACUUACACAGAAAAACUGUAUUUAUAUGGAAACAAGC